ACAAACUUGGUCAUUUAGAGGAAGUAAAAGUCGUAACAAGGUUUCCGUAGGUGAACCUGCGGAAGGAUCAUUCACAAUAAGAGUGUUUAUGGCACUCUUUCAAAAAAUCCAUACCCACCUUGUGUGCAAUGUAGAAAGAAGAGCGAGUUGUUGGCAGGAAGCAGUGGGUGUAAAUCCACAGCAGAAAUCCACAUCUUUCUCUUCAUUCAUUUUUAUUCACCUUUCUACAAGCUCCUAUUGUCUGAAGAUAUUAGAAUUGACAUAAUUCAAAUAUAACUUUCAACAACGGAUCUCUUGGCUCUCGCAUCAAUGAAGAACGCAGC
rnacentral:misc_RNA from 1 species